GGGAGAAAGCUCGCGCUGGUGGGGAGCUGCAUUUGCCUCCUCCCAAUGAAUUUCUGCCUGACCGCCUCGAGCUGGAGACAUCGCACGACUCUACCACUGACUCCAUCGCACCCAUCAUACUUAAGGACACGCCCCUGAUGAGGUUGUGGUUCAAACGAGACAAUGAGUUCAAGUUACCUAAAGCGUACCUCACUGUGGACUUCUUCAGCCCGGUGUCGUACGCGGACCCCGAGAGCAGCGCGUUGAUGUCGAUGUGGAUGUUGCUGGUGCGGGACGGGCUGCAGGAGUACGCGUACGCGGCGGACCUCGCCGGACUCAGGUGGCACGUCACUGUCGCCAAGCAGGCGCUC